UUCAUAAACAGAAUAAUUUUGCAGAAAAAACGUCAACAUCACCUGGACUACAUAAACUCGGCAUCGGUGCAUGGAAAUAACAUCAUAAAAUACAUCGGAUUUCACUAAAAUACGACGUAAAAUUUCAUUGAAAAUAACAAGCAAUAUGGGUUCAGGGAUUGGGUAGAGUACCAUGCAUUGGGUAGAGUGCCGUGCAUUGGGUAGAGUACCGUGCAUUGGGUAGAUGGCCGUGCAUUGGGUAGAAGUGCGUGCAUUGGGUAGAGUACCGUGCAUUGGGUAGAGUACAGUGCAUUGGGUAGAGUACAGUGCAUUGGGUAGAGUGCCGUGCAUUGGGUAGAGUACAGUGCAUUGGGUAGAGUGCCGUGCAUUGGG
ensembl:lncRNA